rnacentral:misc_RNA from 1 species
UAUGAAGAACGCAGCGAAAUGCGAUAAGUAAUGUGAAUUGCAGAAUUCAGUGAAUCAUCGAAUCUUUGAACGCACAUUGCGCCCGCCAGUAUUCUGGCGGGCAUGCCUGUUCGAGCGUCAUUUCAACCCUCAGGGCCCUUUUGGACCUGGCGUUGGGGCUCGGCCGCUACCCUGCGGCCGUCCCCGAAAGAUAGUGGCGGUCUCGCUGUAGCCUCCUCUGCGUAGUAGUUACAUCUCGCACUGGAACGCGGCGCGGCCAUGCCGUUAAACACCCCACUUCUCAAGGUUGACCUCGGAUCAGGUAGGAAUACCCGCUGAACUUAAGCAUAUCAAUAAGCGGAGGA